CAGAUGAAGAGAAAGCCGCCAGUGUCACCUUCCUAGUUGUUUAAAAGCCCGAGCUUCUGUACAAGCUCCACUCACUGCCUCAGGGAUCAGCCAACAGAUUUGGUCCCAUAUCCAGGUGCCUUGGCACAAGGGGCGGGAUUUCAUCUCCUCUGUCAUCUUCAUCAUCCAGAGGGGUUGUUGAUUGGUGCCCUCUAUGUUCACAUCAGGACUGCACAUGACCUGGGUGUCUGGGAAGAUCUUGAUGCCCAGGAAGAGGUGACUGGGGAUCUACUGGGAGGAACACUGGAAUGCGCGUCAGGAGCUCUUCCUAGGACUCAAUGCCUGGGCCAUCCCAGGGUUCCUCUCCCACCAUUUUAUUGUCUGGUUGGAUGUUACGGACAGUGUUCCAUUGAGCUGGGAACAGAAGAAGCUGUACAUUCAUUUUACAAAUAUUUGUGGAGUGCCCACUUUGUGCCAGGCAUUGUUCAAGGUCAGGAGAAGCAGCAGUGAAGAAAACAGUCACAAAUUCCUGCCUUCCUGAAGCUUAUCUUCUGGUGGAUACUGAUUUUAAAUAUUGGAAAAUUACCCAUGGUGUUCAAAAAGAAAUUUAUUGGCGCUGUUCUAGAUGCAGUAGAUAUAGUGGUAAACAAAGCAAGCAAAAAUUUCUUCCCUGCUACAGUUGUACUGGGAGUCAGUCUGAAAACUUGAACAUGGUGGACC